rnacentral:rRNA from 1 species
UACAGAGGUCCCAAGCGUUGUUCGGAUUCACUGGGCGUAAAGGGUGCGUAGGCGGUCGGGUAAGUCUGAUGUGAAAUCUCACAGCUUAACUGUGAAACUGCAUUGGAUACUAUCCGGCUAGAGGAAUGGAGGGGAGACUGGAAUAUUUGGUGUAGCAGUGAAAUGCGUAGAUAUCAAGUGGAACACCAGUGGCGAAAGCGAGUCUCUGGACAUUUCCUGACGCUGAGGCACGAAAGCCAGGGGAGCAAACGGG